rnacentral:rRNA from 1 species
UGCAGUCGAACGAUGAAGCCCUUCGGGGUGGAUUAGUGGCGAACGGGUGAGUAACACGUGGGCAAUCUGCCCUUCACUCUGGGACAAGCCCUGGAAACGGGGUCUAAUACCGGAUACCACUCCUGCCUGCAUGGGCGGGGGUUGAAAGCUCCGGCGGUGAAGGAUGAGCCCGCGGCCUAUCAGCUUGUUGGUGGGGUAAUGGCCCACCAAGGCGACGACGGGUAGCCGGCCUGAGAGGGCGACCGGCCACACUGGGACUGAGACACGGCCCAGACUCCUACGGGAGGCAGCAGUGGGGAAUAUUGCACAAUGGGCGAAAGCCUGAUGCAGCGACGCCGCGUGAGGGAUGACGGCCUUCGGGUUGUAAACCUCUUUCAGCAGGGAAGAAGCGAAAGUGACGGUACCUGCAGAAGAAGCGCCGGCUAACUACGUGCCAGCAGCCGCGGUAAUACGUAGGGCGCAAGCGUUGUCCGGAAUUAUUGGGCGUAAAGAGCUCGUAGGCGGCUUGUCACGUCGGAUGUGAAAGCCCGAGGCUUAACCUCGGGUCUGCAUUCGAUACGGGCUAGCUAGAGUGUGGUAGGGGAGAUCGGAAUUCCUGGUGUAGCGGUGAAAUGCGCAGAUAUCAGGAGGAACACCGGUGGCGAAGGCGGAUCUCUGGGCCAUUACUGACGCUGAGGAGCGAAAGCGUGGGGAGCGAACAGGAUUAGAUACCCUGGUAGUCCACGCCGUAAACGUUGGGAACUAGGUGUUGGCGACAUUCCACGUCGUCGGUGCCGCAGCUAACGCAUUAAGUUCCCCGCCUGGGGAGUACGGCCGCAAGGU